AUUGAACGCUGGCGGCAUGCUUUACACAUGCAAGUCGAACGGUAACAGGGUGCUUGCACCGCUGACGAGUGGCGAACGGGUGAGUAAUGCGUCGGAACGUGCCGAGUAGUGGGGGAUAACGCAGCGAAAGUUGUGCUAAUACCGCAUACGUACUGAGGUAGAAAGUGGGGGACCUUCGGGCCUCACGCUAUUCGAGCAGCCGACGUCUGAUUAGCUAGUAGGUGAGGUAAAGGCUCACCUAGGCGACGAUCAGUAGCGGGUUUGAGAGGAUGAUCCGCCACACUGGGACUGAGACACGGCCCAGACUCCUACGGGAGGCAGCAGUGGGGAAUUUUGGACAAUGGGCGAAAGCCUGAUCCAGCCAUGCCGCGUGUCUGAAGAAGGCCUUCGGGUUGUAAAGGACUUUUGUCAGGGAGGAAAUCCCUAGUGCUAAUAACACUGGGGGAUGACAGUACCUGAAGAAUAAGCACCGGCUAACUACGUGCCAGCCGCCGCAGUAA
rnacentral:rRNA from 1 species